rnacentral:rRNA from 1 species
AGGACGAACGCUGGCGGCGUGCUUAACACAUGCAAGUGGAGCGACGAACCAGGGCUUGCCCUGGGGCAGAGCCGCGAACGGGUGAGUAACACGUGGGUUACCUGCCUCGAUGACCGGGACAACCCGAGGAAAACUCGGGCUAAUACCGGAUGUGCCCGUAAGGGGAAAGGAAGCUUCGGCCUCCGCAUCGAGAUGGGCCCGCGGCCCAUUAGCUUGUUGGUGAGGUAACGGCUCACCAAGGCUUCGAUGGGUAGCUGGUCUGAGAGGACGAUCAGCCACACUGGGACUGAGACACGGCCCAGACUCCUACGGGAGGCAGCAGUGGGGAAUCUUGCGCAAUGCGCGAAAGCGUGACGCAGCAACGCCGCGUGGGGGAAGAAGGCUUUCGGGUUGUAAACCCCUUUCAGUUGGGACGAAGCUUCUCCGGUGAAUAGCCGGACGGAGUGACGGUACCUUCACAAGAAGCACCGGCUAACUACGCGCCAGCAGCCGCGGU